AUUGAACGCUGGCGGCAUGCUUUACACAUGCAAGUCGAACGGUAACAGGCCUUCGGGCGCUGACGAGUGGCGAACGGGUGAGUAACGCAUCGGAACGUGCCCAGUCGUGGGGGAGUAACGCAGCGAAAGCUGUGCUAAUACCGCAUACGAUCUGCGGAUGAAAGCGGGGGACCGUAAGGCCUCGCGCGAUUGGAGCGGCCGAUAUCAGAUUAGGUAGUUGGUGGGGUAAAGGCUCACCAAGCCAACGAUCUGUAGCUGGUCUGAGAGGACGACCAGCCACACUGGAACUGAGACACGGUCCAGACUCCUACGGGAGGCAGCAGUGGGGAAUUUUCCGCAAUGGGCGCAAGCCUGAUCCAGCAAUGCCGCGUGCAGGA
rnacentral:rRNA from 1 species